rnacentral:snoRNA from 24 species
AUUGCACAACUUAAGUUUGUCGGGGAUCAUUUUUUUUAAACUGAAUCUUGCCCUUUUUUAGGUGCUUGAAACCCUCGAUGAAUGUGUCAAUGUGCAAAGAUAAACCGUUAUUCUCUGUUGAUAAGUGAUUUUGAUACUUGCCUUGGAAAUUUUUUCCCUUUCCUAUAAUCAACUUUUGUUUUAAAAGUUGUUCGGAAAGAAUAGGCACAAUUAAAAUUGCGGCUUUCUUCCUAAGUUUUUAGGCUUUUGCAUCGACACUUCUCUAUGCACUUCCCUCGUUUAUUGGACUUUCAAAACUGGCUUUCCCUUCAUGUUUUGUUUUUCUUUAUGUUGUUUCCUCUACUUUUAAUGUGUUCUAUGUUAAUACCGAUUGUAAUGUACAUGUUUCAUUGUUGACCUUAAGCAAGUUUGUCUGAGUUUUUUUUUCAAGUUUACUUAAGUUCGCUUUGAGAUAUAUAAUAUAUGGUUGGCAUGUGGAGGGGAUGCUUGAAACUGCACAAACAUGGGAGGGUCAUUGGAGUGGAGAUACCUGGGAGAGUUUUUUUACAAAAGAAGCUAAAAAACACAAUUCA